AGAAUAAAGCUGUGGUUCCAGUGCCUGUCGUUAAUAAAACUAAAGAAGAUCCUGUACCGAAGAAGGCUUCUGGUGGGUCUAUUGAUAGGGAUAUUGCUCUUGCGGAGGUUGAAAAGGAGAAGAGGUUCUCCUUCAUCAAGGCCUGGGAAGAUAGUGAAAAAUCAAAGGCUGAGAACAAGGCACAAAAGAAGCUCUCUUCUGUAUCCGCGUGGGAGAACAGCAAAAAAGCCAACUUGGAAGCCAAGUUGAAAAAAAUUGAGGAAGAAUUGGAGAAGAAAAAGGCUGAAUAUGCAGAAAAAAUGAA
rnacentral:misc_RNA from 1 species